GAUGAACGCUGGCGGCGUGCCUAAUACAUGCAAGUCGAGCGAACAGACGAGGAGCUUGCUCCUCUGACGUUAGCGGCGGACGGGUGAGUAACACGUGGAUAACCUACCUAUAAGACUGGGAUAACUUCGGGAACCGGAGCUAAUACCGGAUAACAUGUUGAACCGCAUGGUUCAACAGUGAAAGACGGUCUUGCUGUCACUUAUAGAUGGAUCCGCGCCGCAUUAGCUAGUUGGUAAGGUAACGGCUUACCAAGGCAACGAUGCGUAGCCGACCUGAGAGGGUGAUCGGCCACACUGGAACUGAGACACGGUCCAGACUCCUACGGGAGGCAGCAGUAGGGAAUCUUCCGCAAUGGGCGAAAGCCUGACGGAGCAACGCCGCGUGAGUGAAGAAGGUCUUCGGAUCGUAAAACUCUGUUAUUAGGGAAGAACAAAUGUGUAAGUAACUAUGCACGUCUUGACGGUACCUAAUCAGAAAGCCACGGCUAACUACGUG
rnacentral:rRNA from 1 species